rnacentral:tRNA from 1 species
GCCGAGGUAGCUCAGUCGGCAGAGCGGCUCACUCGUAAUGAGCAGGUCCGGGGUUCGAUUCCCCGCCUCGGCUCCA